rnacentral:pre_miRNA from 1 species
GCCGGCCGGCCUCGGACCUACCCUCUCAGGGGUUGGCCAGGGGCUGGACUGGA